rnacentral:tRNA from 1 species
GGUGGCUCAGUGGUAGAGCGCUUGCCUGGCAUGCCUGAGACCCUGGGUUCGAUUCCCAGCACCA